rnacentral:tRNA from 1 species
GCCUGGCUGGCUCAGUUGGUAGAGCAUGUGGCUCUUGAUCUCAGGGUUGUAAGUUCAAGUCCCACAUUGGGUG